rnacentral:rRNA from 1 species
AGAGUUUGAUCCUGGCUCAGGAUGAACGCUAGCGGCAGGCCUAAUACAUGCAAGUCGAGCGGCAAGCCGAGGAGUAAUCCAAGGCCUAGAGCGGCGCACGGGUGCGUAACGCGUAUGCAACCUACCCCAUACAGGGGGAUAGCCCGGAGAAAUCUGGAUUAAUACCCCAUAGUACAACGCAAGGGCAUCUGAGUGUUGUUAAAGAUUCAUCGGUAUGGGAUGGGCAUGCGUCUGAUUAGCUAGUUGGCGGUGUAACGGACCACCAAGGCGACGAUCAGUAGGGGUUCUGAGAGGAAGGUCCCCCACACUGGCACUGAGAUACGGGCCAGACUCCUACGGGAGGCAGCAGUAGGGAAUAUUGGGCAAUGGGCGAGAGCCUGACCCAGCCAUGCCGCGUGCAGGAAGACGGCCUAUUGGGUUGUAAACUGCUUUUAUCUGGGAAGAAAAGGCCCGUGCGCGGGACAUUGCCGGUACCAGAUGAAUAAGCACCGGCUAACUCCGUGCCAGCAGCCGCGGUAAUACGGAGGGUGCAAGCGUUGUCCGGAUUUAUUGGGUUUAAAGGGUGCGUAGGCGGCUGUUUAAGUCAGCGGUGAAAGACAUCGGCUCAACCGAUGCAGUGCCGUUGAUACUGGAUGGCUUGAGUGUUGGAGGGGUACAUGGAAUUGAUGGUGUAGCGGUGAAAUGCAUAGAUACCAUCAGGAACACCGAUAGCGAAGGCAUUGUACUGGCCAACAACUGACGCUGAGGCACGAAAGCAUGGGGAGCGAACAGGAUUAGAUACCCUGGUAGUCCAUGCCGUAAACGAUGAUUACUCGCUGUUAUGCCAGUAGGUGUAGCGGCAAAGCGAAAGCGUUAAGUAAUCCACCUGGGGGAGUACGCCCGCAACGGUGAAACUCAAAGGAAUUGACGG